ensembl:lncRNA
UAAUCAUGGCCUUUUAUGUUUUGAAGAAUAGAUUGGAAUGGUGAGUUCUUAGUGGUCGGUAUUGCAUCUGUAUUUGUUCAUAACCUUGGCCAACGCACUGUCACAGAAGCUAAAGCUGGGCAUUGUUUUGAAUUUGUUAAAUUCAGGAAAAUACCUAAAUAAUAGAAUAAAGUUGUGUUUCUCACAAACAGGCCCCGCAAUACAAUUAAUGUAUCAUUAUCUAGAUUUACAACUAGAUUUUUUUAACAGGAAGAAACCACCGCAAAACCAGACUCGGGAAGGGCCAGCCCUCUGCCGUGACUGGUUGGGUGUAAGAUCCAUUUUAGGAAUAAAGCCAUCCUUCAGCAUGGGAUACUGACAAUUUUGGGGCCACAGGCAGGAGGACAGAGGAGACAAGAAAACUCAAAUUAGAGAAAUGAGAAAAGCCUGUAGUCCUGUGUUUACCUUUGUUCUUGUCACUUUGUGGGUUUGUGCUCUGUUUAUUUCCCCUAGCAUUUGUUUUUUCAUUUUAUUUUAUUUUUCUGCCCCUUGGACUUUGGUUCGCCUGAUUUUUAUAAAAAAAAAAAUGAUGGUUUUGUUUACUGCUCCUGUGUCUGCCUCAGGGUCCACUCUCCACCAUAACUGGCAGUUCUAAUCCAACUUAAUCUGAUAAAAGUCUUUAAACAAAUUCACUCCCGCAAACAACUUCUCCUUUUCUUUUUUUAUUUAAUUGACUGCUAAUAAUAUGUAUUGAAAGCAUGUGACAGUUAUUUAUUUCAGUUACAACCUCAACGUCCACUUCACUCAAAAAGAGUAAGUUUAAAAAAUAAAUAAAUUAGUAUUUGUUAUAUUUUAGUAGAUUACACUGUAUUUUGCACUGUAUCCAUGAACUUUUUAAUUGUCCAUUGUCUGCAAGCCUGUAACUUACACAGCAACUUUCUUCAUUUUCAGCAGUGUGUUCAGGUAUCACAGGUAUCUUCAAAACACACUUUUAGAUCAGCUAUGAACUUCUUUUGUGCCCUUAGGGAAUUUCGUGAAUUACUGCACAAAUGUUUAUGAGGACUAAAGGGAGAACUGAUUGAAUUUUGGUGAUUAAAGGUCACUUCGACCUCACCAAAUCACUUUUGGUCUUAAUUCAGUUAUGACUAAAGUUCACCAAAAUAUCCAAUCCACAAAUUACUGAAAUUUUAUACUAAAAGGUCAACUUUAUAGUAAUAUCAUAAUACUUUAUCCAUUAUUUAAAUUCUAUAAUCCAGGAAAUGGAGGGCUGUAGAUGUUUCACAUUUGGAAAAGAUUCAGUAUUUAGUUGGAUACUGAAUCUUUGUGGUCAACUAUGAAAAUCUUUGCAUGUCAUGUGUAU